GCUUUUAUAGGAUAGCUUUAAUCCGUUGGCCUUAGAAUCCAAAAACUCAAGAACCUUUGAUAAAAGUA
rnacentral:tRNA from 2 species